rnacentral:lncRNA from 10 species
GUUGGAAUUGGGAACUACACAUGGGCACAGCUUACAGGUGGAAUGAUGACUCACACCUGAAGAUAUUUUGACCUUUGUAGUCUUAGGGCAAAAACUAAGGUCCUGUGUCUUCAACUUGUAGGAUGGUCACGGAAUAUUACAACUUGCAUGCACGUUGAAUGAAGCCCUCAAAUGCUACAAAGAGUGCCAAAAUAGAGCCCAGCUAAAACUGUGGUAAAACUGUGGCUGUUGUAUGCAAACUCAAAUAAAAGCACUGUUGAGGUUCUGAAUCGCUCACCAAGAGGCAAUCAAGUUGGAAUUGUGACUCUCAUGCAUCAAUCCAAUCGACAGAUGAGAUGAUAACACCAAGUCCAGGAUUUAGAACACCUGGGGGCUGUGCUUCCCCUAUCAAAACACAGUCUGUUGGUGAGAUUUGGGCUCUCGUGCAUUGAUUUAGUCCACUGUUGUGACUGACUUGCAUAGUUGAACUCAAACCCACAAGAGGUGUUGACUCUUAUACCUUUAGCAGGAAAAUGUCCCGGAUUGUGAAUUUCUGCUAUUGACCGGGUCCAGGUGGAUCCAGGUAUGAGAGUCAUCAUCUCACCUGUGAGCUGUGACCAUGUAUAUGUCGCAAUUUCACCUGUCAU